rnacentral:rRNA from 1 species
UACGGGGGGGGCAAGCGUUGUUCGGAAUUACUGGGCGUAAAGGGUUCGUAGGUGGCCCGCUAAGUCAGACGUGAAAUCCCUCAGCUCAACUGGGGAACUGCGUCUGAGACUGGCGGGCUUGAGUGCAGGAGAGGAACGCGGAAUUCCAGGUGUAGCGGUGAAAUGCGUAGAUAUCUGGAGGAACACCGGUGGCGAAGGCGGCGUUCUGGACUGUUACUGACACUGAGGAACGAAAGCCAGGGGAGCAAACGGG